ACUAUCGUUAACUGAAUACAUAGGUUAACGAGGCGAACCGGGGGAACUGAAACAUCUAAGUACCCCGAGGAAAAGAAAUCAACCGAGAUUCCCCCAGUAGCGGCGAGCGAACGGGGAGCAGCCCAGAGUCUGAAUCAGCUUGUGUGUUAGUGGAACGGUCUGGAAAGUCCGACGGUACAGGGUGAUAGUCCCGUACACCAAAAUGCACAGGUUGUGAACUCGAAGAGUAGGGCGGGACACGUGGUAUCCUGUCUGAAUAUGGGGGGACCAUCCUCCAAGGCUAAAUACUCCUGACUGACCGAUAGUGAACCAGUACCGUGAGGGAAAGGCGAAAAGAACCCCGGCGAGGGGAGUGAAAAAGAACCUGAAACCGUGUACGUACAAGCAGUGGGAGCACCUUCGGGUGUGACUGCGUACCUUUUGUAUAAUGGGUCAGCGACUUAUAUUCUGUAGCAAGGUUAACCGUAUAGGGGAGCCGCAGGGAAACCGAGUCUUAACUGGGCGUUAAGUUGCAGGGUAUAGACCCGAAACCCGGUGAUCUAGCCAUGGGCAGGUUGAAGGUUGGGUAACACUAACUGGAGGACCGAACCGACUAAUGUUGAAAAAUUAGCGGAUGACUUGUGGCUGGGGGUGAAAGGCCAAUCAAACCGGGAGAUAGCUGGUUCUCCCCGAAAGCUAUUUAGGUAGCGCCUCGUGAACUCAUCUUCGGGGGUAGAGCACUGUUUCGGCUAGGGGGUCAUCCCGACUUACCAACCCGAUGCAAACUACGAAUACCGAAGAAUGUUAUCACGGGAGACACACGGCGGGUGCUAACGUCCGUCGUGAAGAGGGAAACAACCCAGACCGCCAGCUAAGGUCCCAAAGUCAUGGUUAAGUGGGAAACGAUGUGGGAAGGCACAGACAGCCAGGAUGUUGGCUUAGAAGCAGCCAUCAUUUAAAGAAAGCGUAAUAGCUCACUGGUCGAGUCGGCCUGCGCGGAAGAUGUAACGGGGCUAAACCAUGCACCGAAGCUGCGGCAGCGACACUAUGUGUUGUUGGGUAGGGGAGCGUUCUGUAAGCCUGCGAAGGUGNUGCUGGAGGUAUCAGAAGUGCGAAUGCUGACAUAAGUAACGAUAAAGCGGGUGAAAAGCCCGCUCGCCGGAAGACCAAGGGUUCCUGUCCAACGUUAAUCGGGGCAGGGUGAGUCGACCCCUAAGGCGAGGCCGAAAGGCGUAGUCGAUGGGAAACAGGUUAAUAUUCCUGUACUUGGUGUUACUGCGAAGGGGGGACGGAGAAGGCUAUGUUAGCCGGGCGACGGUUGUCCCGGUUUAAGCAUGUAGGCUGAUUGUCCAGGCAAAUCCGGAUAAUCAAGGCUGAGGUGUGAUGACGAGGCACUACGGUGCUGAAGUAACAAAUGCCCUGCUUCCAGGAAAAGCCUCUAAGCAUCAGGUAACAUCAAAUCGUACCCCAAACCGACACAGGUGGUCAGGUAGAGAAUACCAAGGCGCUUGAGAGAACUCGGGUGAAGGAACUAGGCAAAAUGGUGCCGUAACUUCGGGAGAAGGCACGCUGGUGUGUAGGUGAAGCCCCUGCGGGUGGAGCUGAGACCAGUCGAAGAUACCAGCUGGCUGCAACUGUUUAUUAAAAACACAGCACUGUGCAAACACGAAAGUGGACGUAUACGGUGUGACGCCUGCCCGGUGCCGGAAGGUUAAUUGAUGGGGUUAUCCGUAAGGAGAAGCUCUUGAUCGAAGCCCCGGUAAACGGCGGCCGUAACUAUAACGGUCCUAAGGUAGCGAAAUUCCUUGUCGGGUAAGUUCCGACCUGCACGAAUGGCGUAAUGAUGGCCAGGCUGUCUCCACCCGAGACUCAGUGAAAUUGAACUCGCUGUGAAGAUGCAGUGUACCCGCGGCAAGACGGAAAGACCCCGUGAACCUUUACUAUAGCUUGACACUGAACAUUGAGCCUUGAUGUGUAGGAUAGGUGGGAGGCUUUGAAGCGUGGACGCCAGUCUGCGUGGAGCCAACCUUGAAAUACCACCCUUUAAUGUUUGAUGUUCUAACGUUGGCCCCUUACCGGGGUUGCGGACAGUGUCUGGUGGGUAGUUUGACUGGGGCGGUCUCCUCCCAAAGCGUAACGGAGGAGCACGAAGGUUAGCUAAUCCUGGUCGGACAUCAGGAGGUUAGUGCAAUGGCAUAAGCUAGCUUGACUGCGAGCGUGACGGCGCGAGCAGGUGCGAAAGCAGGUCAUAGUGAUCCGGUGGUUCUGAAUGGAAGGGCCAUCGCUCAACGGAUAAAAGGUACUCCGGGGAUAACAGGCUGAUACCGCCCAAGAGUUCAUAUCGACGGCGGUGUUUGGCACCUCGAUGUCGGCUCAUCACAUCCUGGGGCUGAAGUAGGUCCCAAGGGUAUGGCUGUUCGCCAUUUAAAGUGGUACGCGAGCUGGGUUUAGAACGUCGUGAGACAGUUCGGUCCCUAUCUGCCGUGGGCGCUGGAGAAUUGAGGGGGGCUGCUCCUAGUACGAGAGGACCGGAGUGGACGCAUCACUGGUGUUCGGGUUGUCAUGCCAAUGGCACUGCCCGGUAGCUAAAUGCGGAAGAGAUAAGUGCUGAAAGCAUCUAAGCACGAAACUUGCCCCGAGAUGAGUUCU
rnacentral:rRNA from 1 species